AGAAAAAGAAUGUGGAGGACACUGCGGCGACGAGGGUGGCGAGGAGGAGAAUAAUGAGCCAACAGUAAACCACACGGUGGUGGCACUCGCAACGGCACCUCGGCUUCGCCGGUGGUCGUCUAGUCGUCAGCACGGACGAUGAAGUCUCCAGGAGUGAAAAAACGACGUUAGCCAAACACCCUUCGACGUUGGCCGGCAGAUCCUCGACGCUGGCCACUGCCGGUGGACGCUCUACGCCGUCGCGACCUUUGCCCCUGUAGCCCCUACGACCUUGGGCACCACAAAAAACGACGAUGGUCGACAUUAAAAACGACCUUGACCACACAAGAAAAAGGAACCUAGCCACAGCCGCCACUAAAAGACGACCUUGGUUCAAGAUAAAAACGACCUUGGUCACUAUACAAAACGACGAUACCCUCCUUAAAACACGACCUUGACCACAAAGGAAACGAACUUAACCACGGUCGCCACUUAAAACAACCUUGGUUCUACAAACAAAACGACCUUUGUAUCUACACAAAACGACGAUGGCUGCCAUUAAAAACGAUGUACCAUGAUGGUAGCAGAAACUUAAAACGACCUUGGUUCUACAACAAAACGACCUUUGUCUCUACACAAAACGACGAUGACUGCCAUUAAAAACGAUGCACCAUUAUGGUAGCAGAGACUUAAAACAUCCUAGGUCAUGAGAAAAAACCAUGGUAACGAAACGAAAAACGACCUUGGUUUACUAAAAAAGCGAUGGUGACAGAAACUCAAAACGACCUUGGUUUACUAAAAAAACGAUGGUAACAGAAUCAAAAACGACCUUGAUCGUGGAUAAACAAGAUGAUGGUAGAAACCUAAAAAACAACCUUGGCAGCAGCUAAAACGAUGUUGGCCGUUUACAAAAACGAUGCAGGUAAGUACUGCUUCUAAUCGAUGUAGGAAAAAAAGUACUACAAAGAGGUCCGAGCCGCUUCUAAUCGACGCCCGCCCCCACCGGCCGUUCGUGCCCGCCGCGCCCCCACCGGCCGUUCGUACCCGCGCUCGCGCCCCCACCGACCGCUUGUGCCCGUGCUCGUGCCUGCCGCGCUCACACCGGCCGCUCGUACCCGCGCUCGUGCCUACCGCGCUCCCACCCGCUCGUGUCCGCGCCUACGCCUGCCGCGCUCCUACCGGCCCCUCGUGCCCAGGCUCGCGCCCGCCACGUCCCACCGGCCGUUCGUACCUAACGCGCUCUGUCCGCUGCUCGUACCUCUAGAGGGAAAAAAGAAAAAAGAAGUGCGCACACACCUUCCCUCUUCUGCUGAGAGUUAGCGCGAUAGGUCUGGCAAAUAAACAUGCCCUAGGUUGCGGAUCGUCGCCUGGCCGGCUUUGAAGCCGGCCACACGGCCGCGGAUCGCAGCGGGUUUUUAUUUACAACUAUACGAAUAACUUGGUACUUCUACCCUGAUUUCAUGUUUGUUGUAUAUACGGUAAGCGUUUUUUUUGUAUAUGUGGUUAUUUCUACUAGAUGAAGUUUUGUUACUUAUUUUAAGAGCUAGUUUUUUAGUUUUAGUUUUACUGAUGUGUAAAGCAUGAUGACAUAUAUCUUGUCGAUAUAUCUUGUCGAUGAAGUGUAACAGUAACUCGAGUAUAUUACGAGGUUAAAGGUAUUCCUUUCUUAUUUUUUACGAAGUUUGUAUCAUCAUGUGCAAGGGGUUAUUUUGUUGUGUAUAUAUUAUGCGAUUACGAUUACGUCUCUUUGUUUUUCCUAAGAGGUUCGUAUGUAUAUGUGAUCCAGC
rnacentral:rRNA from 1 species